rnacentral:lncRNA from 1 species
CUCCCCCACUGGACUCGGCACUGGCGGGAAAAAAAGAGCGAGGCGGAGUGCUCAAUAGCUCAUUACACAGUGAGAGGAGCUUGUGUGGAGGAAGACAGGGUGUGCACGGAGGACGGAAGAGACAAAGGAGGAAGAGAUACAGACACACAGGUGGUCUGUGGAAAAAAACAGGAAGUCAAAUAGCAGGAGAAGAGAGAGGAGGAGGGGCAGAAAAUGUCUUUAUUCUAUUGGAUGUUUAGUUUUUAUUGUUAUUAUCUACUUUGUUUAUGAAUCUACUUCACUUGCUUGGCAAUGCUAACAUAUCCCAUGUCAAUAAAGCCCUUAAAGUGGAAAUUGAAUUGAGAGAGAGAGAGAGAGAGAGAGAGAGAGGCAGAGAGGGAGAAAUACCACAGUGUUCCAUCACAGCAGCAAGAUUUGUGACCUGUUGCCACAAGAAAAGGGCAACCAGUGAAGAACACCAUUGUAAAUACAACCCAUAUUUAUUUGUGUUUAUUUUCCCUUUUGUACUUUAACCAUUUGCACAUCGUUACGAUACUGUAUAUAUACAUAAUAUGACAUUUGUAAUGUCUUUAUUAUUUUGGAACUUCUGUGAGUGUAAUGUUUACUGUUCAUUUUUAUUGUUUAUUUCACUUUUGUAUAUUAUCUACUUCACUUGCUUU